rnacentral:rRNA from 1 species
AUGGACGACGACUUCGACAUCCCCGCGGGCGACGACAUGAUGAUGGGAGACGGGAUGGGUGACUUCGGCGGCGCCGAAGGGCCGGGGAUGAAGGUGGGCGAGGAGAAGGAGAUUGGGAAGCAGGGGCUUAAGAAGAAGCUGCUCAAGGAGGGCGAAGGGUGGGACACACCCGAGGUCGGCGACGAGGUCGAAGUCCAUUACACUGGCACCCUCCUUGAUGGUAAAAAGUUUGACUCCAGCCGUGAUCGUGAUGACACUUUCAAGUUCAAGUUGGGACAAGGUCAAGUAAUAAAGGGAUGGGAUCAAGGCAUCAAGACCAUGAAGAAAGGGGAAAAUGCUCUUUUCACCAUUCCUCCUGAAUUGGCUUAUGGCGAAUCUGGUUCACCUCCAACUAUUCCGGCCAAUGCCACGCUGCAGUUCGAUGUUGAGCUGCUUUCUUGGACCAGUGUCAGGGACAUUGCAAAAGAUGGUGGCAUAUUCAAGAAGAUAUUGAAGGAGGGAGAUAAAUGGGAGAACCCAAAGGAUCCUGAUGAAGUAUUUGUGAAAUAUGAGGCUCGGCUUGAGGAUGGUACUGUUGUGUCCAAGUCUGAGGGGGUUGAAUUUACUGUUAAAGAUGGACACCUCUGCCCUGCACUGGCCAAAGCUGUUAAAACCAUGAAAAAAGGAGAGAAGGUGCUCCUCGCGGUCAAGCCACAGUAUGGAUUUGGUGAGAUGGGUAGACCAGCAGCUGGUGAGGGAGGUGCUGUGCCACCAAAUGCCAGCCUUGUUAUUGACCUUGAGCUGGUUUCAUGGAAGACUGUCACAGAAAUAGGGGAUGAUAAGAAGAUCCUCAAAAAAGUUCUCAAGGAGGGCGAAGGAUAUGAACGUCCCAAUGAGGGUGCAGUUGUUACAGUCAAAAUAACUGGAAAACUUCAAGAUGGGACAGUAUUCUUGAAGAAGGGGCAUGAUGAACAAGAGCCAUUUGAAUUUAAGACUGAUGAAGAGGCGGUUAUUGAGGGUCUUGAUCGUGCUGUGCUAAACAUGAAGAAGGGCGAGGUUGCUCUUGUCACUAUUCCUCCUGAAUAUGCUUAUGGCUCAACGGAGUCGAAGCAGGAUGCUAUAGUUCCACCUAACAGUACUGUGAUUUACGAAGUGGAGCUUGUAUCAUUUGUAAAGGAUAAGGAGUCAUGGGACUUGAACAACUCAGAGAAGAUUGAGGCAGCUGGAACCAAGAAAGAAGAGGGGAAUGCCUUGUUCAAGUCAGGCAAAUAUGCCAGAGCUUCCAAGCGUUAUGAGAAGGCUGCAAAGUUCAUUGAGUAUGACACUUCGUUCAGUGAGGAUGAGAAAAAGCAAUCCAAGCAACUGAAGAUCACCUGCAACUUAAACAAUGCUGCCUGCAAGUUGAAGCUGAAAGACUAUAAGCAAGCUGAAAAGCUUUGCACCAAGGUUCUGGAACUGGACAGCCGAAAUGUUAAGGCUUUGUACAGAAGGGCUCAAGCUUACACUCAGCUUGCGGACCUAGAGUUAGCAGAGGUCGACAUUAAGAAGGCAUUGGAAAUAGAUCCUGAAAACAGGGAUGUGAAGUUGACAUACAAGACUCUGAAGGAAAAGAUCAAGGAAAUCAACAAGAAGGAUGCCAAAUUCUACAGCAAUAUGUUCUCUAAGAUGACCAAGCCUUCAGCAGAAGAAAGCAAAGCUUGA